UUGUUUCAGCAGCAAGUAUACUAAAACUGGAACGGUACAGAGGUUAGCAUGGCCCCUGCCCAAGGAUGACAUGCAAAUUCGCGAAGCAUUCCAUAUUUUA
rnacentral:snRNA from 1 species